AGCGCGUUCAUAUUCCUUUUCCAGCUCGUGUUUGCGGGUGAUAACGUGGUGCUUGCAUUGCUAUGUGGGACCCGGGGAGAGGCUGUCUGUGCUGUGCCUGUAUUCUACAUGUGCGGAGCAAUGCUGUAAGGACACGCGUCCGAUACAUGAUGCACCGGACACAGAGUCGUAAUGGGUUUCCUUUUUAAAAGCACAAUGAAGAUGUGACCAAGAAUGUAUUGCCUACAUCCUGUCUGAAACUAUGGCAAAGAGAAUGACUGGAGUGGAAGGGAGGAGCUAUUUAACUGCUCUGCUACUCCUGACCAGGAGGUGAAUAUCCAUUAGGAAUUAAGAUGAUCUGUGGACUCGUGUCAAAAAAGAAAUAAAUUUAUCAGUAAUUGGUUUCCUUGAUUUAAAGGCACAAUGAAGAUGUGACAAAGAAUGUAUUGCCUACAUCCUGUCUGAAACUAUGGGACUUGUCUUUAUUUGAAGAACAGCUCUUAACCUUGUGCAUGGUGUAAUUUGAGGCAUGGCUGUUGGCACUGGUCAUGGAUUUUAAAGUUGACAGGAAUCAAGUAAUAUCUGCAAUUUUAAUUUGUGAAACUUAUUUGUAAAUAAAGGUUUAUUGGCUGAACAAUAAAAAAACAAAGCAAA